rnacentral:rRNA from 1 species
GACGAACGCUGGCGGCGUGCUUAACACAUGCAAGUCGAACGGAAAGGCCCUGCUUUUGUGGGGUGCUCGAGUGGCGAACGGGUGAGUAACACGUGAGUAACCUGCCCUUGACUUUGGGAUAACUUCAGGAAACUGGGGCUAAUACCGGAUAGGAGCUCCUGCUGCAUGGUGGGGGUUGGAAAGUUUCGGCGGUUGGGGAUGGACUCGCGGCUUAUCAGCUUGUUGGUGGGGUAGUGGCUUACCAGGGCUUUGACGGGUAGCCGGCCUGAGAGGGUGACCGGCCACAUGAGGACUGAGAUACGGCCCAGAAGCCUACGGGAGGCAGCAGUGGGGAAUAUUACACAAUGGGCGGAAGCCUGAUGCAGCAACGCCGCGUGCGGGAUGACGGCCUUCGGGUUGUAAACCGCUUUCGCCUGUGACGAAGCGUGAGUGACGGUAAUGGGUAAAGAAGCACCGGCUAACUACGUG